UACGUAGGGGGCUAGCGUUGUCCGGAUUUAUUGGGCGUAAAGAGCGUGUAGGCGGCUUGGUAGGUCCGCUGUGAAAACUCGAGGCUCAACCUCGAGAUGUCGGCGGAAACCACUUGGCUAGAGUCCGGAAGAGGAGAGUGGAAUUCCCGGUGUAGCGGUGAAAUGCGCAGAUAUCGGGAAGAACACCCGUGGCGAAGGCGGCUCUCUGGGACGGUACUGACGCUGAGACGCGAAAGCGUGGGGAGCGAACAGG
rnacentral:rRNA from 1 species